AUGAACGCUAGCUACAGGCUUAACACAUGCAAGUCGAGGGGCAUCAGGAAGAAAGCUUGCUUUCUUUGCUGGCGACCGGCGCACGGGUGAGUAACACGUAUCCAACCUGCCCUUUACUCGGGGAUAGCCUUUCGAAAGAAAGAUUAAUACCCGAUGGCAUAAUGAUUCCGCAUGGUUUCAUUAUUAAAGGAUUCCGGUAAAGGAUGGGGAUGCGUUCCAUUAGGUUGUUGGUGGGGUAACGGCUCACCAAGCCUUCGAUGGAUAGGGGUUCUGAGAGGAAGGUCCCCCACAUUGGAACUGAGACACGGUCCAAACUCCUACGGGAGGCAGCAGUGAGGAAUAUUGGUCAAUGGGCGCUAGCCUGAACCAGCCAAGUAGCGUGAAGGAUGAAGGCUCUAUGGGUCGUAAACUUCUUUUAUAUAAGAAUAAAGUGCAGUAUGUAUACUGUUUUGUAUGUAUUAUAUGAAUAAGGAUCGGCUAACUCCGUGCCAGCAGCCGCGGUAAUACGGAGGAUCCGAGCGUUAUCCGGAUUUAUUGGGUUUAAAGGGAGCGUAGGUGGACUGGUAAGUCAGUUGUGAAAGUUUGCGGCUCAACCGUAAAAUUGCAGUUGAUACUGUCAGUCUUGAGUACAGUAGAGGUGGGCGGAAUUCGUGGUGUAGCGGUGAAAUGCUUAGAUAUCACGAAGAACUCCGAUUGCGAAGGCAGCUCACUGGACUGCAACUGACACUGAUGCUCGAAAGUGUGGGUAUCAAACAGGAUUAGAUACCCUGGUAGUCCACACAGUAAACGAUGAAUACUCGCUGUUUGCGAUAUACAGUAAGCGGCCAAGCGAAAGCAUUAAGUAUUCCACCUGGGGAGUACGCCGGCAACGGUGAAACUCAAAGGAAUUGACGGGGGCCCGCACAAGCGGAGGAACAUGUGGUUUAAUUCGAUGAUACGCGAGGAACCUUACCCGGGCUUAAAUUGCAGUGGAAUGAUGUGGAAACAUGUCAGUGAGCAAUCACCGCUGUGAAGGUGCUGCAUGGUUGUCGUCAGCUCGUGCCGUGAGGUGUCGGCUUAAGUGCCAUAACGAGCGCAACCCUUAUCUUUAGUUACUAACAGGUCAUGCUGAGGACUCUAGAGAGACUGCCGUCGUAAGAUGUGAGGAAGGUGGGGAUGACGUCAAAUCAGCACGGCCCUUACGUCCGGGGCUACACACGUGUUACAAUGGGGGGUACAGAAGGCAGCUAGCGGGUGACCGUAUGCUAAUCCCAAAAGCCUCUCUCAGUUCGGAUCGAAGUCUGCAACCCGACUUCGUGAAGCUGGAUUCGCUAGUAAUCGCGCAUCAGCCACGGCGCGGUGAAUACGUUCCCGGGCCUUGUACACACCGCCCGUCAAGCCAUGGGAGCCGGGGGUACCUGAAGUGCGUAACCGCAAGGAUCGUCCUAGGGUAAAACUGGUGA
rnacentral:rRNA from 1 species